rnacentral:rRNA from 1 species
UUCCAGACUCCUACGGGAGGCAGCAGUGAGGAAUAUUGGUCAAUGGGCGCAAGCCUGAACCAGCCAAGUCGCGUGAGGGAUGACGGUCCUAUGGAUUGUAAACCUCUUUUGUCGGGGAGCAAGGCCCGCCACGUGUGGCGGGAAGGAGAGUACCCGAAGAAAAAGCAUCGGCUAACUCCGUGCCAGCAGCCGCGGUAAUACGGAGGAUGCGAGCGUUAUCCGGAUUUAUUGGGUUUAAAGGGUGCGUAGGCGGACGCUUAAGUCAGCGGUAAAAUUGCGGGGCUCAACCCCGCCCAGCCGUCGGAACUGCCGGGCUAGAGUGGGCGAGAAGUGCGCGGAAUGCGUGGUGUAGCGGUGAAAUGCAUAGAUAUCACGCAGAACUCCGAUUGCGAAGGCAGCGCACCGGCGCCCUACUGACGCUCAGGCACGAAAGCGUGGGUAUCGAACAGGAUUAGAUACCCCUGUACG